GCAGCCAGCGCAUAACCUCGCGGUCUGAUACGGCCGUCGAGGGGUGUUGCGUUUUGGUGGAUCCGUACCGCUCGAGCUGCUGACCGCCUAAGUCAUUGCUUGAAUGCAGCCCCGAGGAGGGUGGUAGGCCCGUGUGGCGGCGCCUGUAAAAAGGUUUUAGGCAGCUUGGGCGGAGGGGUCUUUACCGUAGAGUCGGGUUGCUUAGUACUGCAGCCCUAAGUAGGUGGUAAACUCCAUCUAAGGCUAAAUACUACCACGAGUCCGAUAUUGGACAAGUACCGUGAGGGAAAGCUGAAAAGGACUCUGAAGAGAGAGUUCAAGAGGACGUGAAACCAUUAGAAGCUCAAACGGGUGGAACCGUGAAGGUCGAAAGAGGGGAUUCAGCCCGCAGGACGUGGGCUCUGGCCGCGGUUCAAGUUGCAUUUCAGUGAGAGGACCCCGCCAUGAAGUUUGUGGUUUGGGGCUGCGCGGCCGGGCCAGCCGCGUGCUGCGGGCUUAUUUCUACCUCGAGUAGAGAGUGUCGCGACCCGCUGACCGGGCUCCCAGGGCCGUGCGGGACUGGUAACCCGCGCUUGCGCGCGGGUGAUGACCCGCGGCGGUGCUGACCGGGCCUGGGCGGCGGUGACUGCAAGGAGGCCG
rnacentral:rRNA from 1 species